GACGAACCUGACAAACGUUAUUCGGAAUUACUGGGCUUAAAGGGUGCGUAGGCGGCGUAGCAAGUUGGGUGUGAAAUCCCUCGGCUCAACCGAGGAACUGCGCUCAAUACUGCUAUGCUCGAGGGAGACAGAGGUGAGCGGAACUUAGGGUGGAGCGGUGAAAUGCGUUGAUAUCCUAAGGAACACCGGUAGCGAAAGCGGCUCACUGGGUCUUUUCUGACGCUGAGGCACGAAAGCUAGGGUAGCGAACGGG
rnacentral:rRNA from 2 species